GGGGGAAACCCUGAUGCAGCCAUGCCGCGUGUGUGAAGAAGGCCUUCGGGUUGUAAAGCACUUUCAGUUGUGAGGAAAAGUUAGUAGUUAAUACCUGCUAGCCGUGACGUUAACAACAGAAGAAGCACCGGCUAACUCCGUGCCAGCAGCCGCGGUAAUACGGAGGGUGCGAGCGUUAAUCGGAAUUACUGGGCGUAAAGCGCACGCAGGCGGUUUGUUAAGCUAGAUGUGAAAGCCCCGGGCUCAACCUGGGAUGGUCAUUUAGAACUGGCAGACUAGAGUCUUGGAGAGGGGAGUGGAAUUCCAGGUGUAGCGGUGAAAUGCGUAGAUAUCUGGAGGAACAUCAGUGGCGAAGGCGACUCCCUGGCCAAAGACUGACGCUCAUGUGCGAAAGUGUGGGUAGCGAACAGGAUUAGAUACCCUGGUAGUCCACACCGUAAACGCUGUCUACUAGCUGUGUGUGUCUUUAAGNCGUGSGUAGCGAAGCUAACGCGCUAAGUAUACCGCCUGG
rnacentral:rRNA from 1 species